rnacentral:rRNA from 1 species
GCAAGUCGAGCGAGGACUUCGGUCCUAGCGGCGGACGGGUGAGUAACGCGUGGGAACAUACCCAGAGGUACGGAACAACAGUUGGAAACGACUGCUAAUACCGUAUGUGCCCUUCGGGGGAAAGAAUUUCGCCUUUGGAUUGGCCCGCGUUGGAUUAGAUAGUUGGUGGGGUAAUGGCCUACCAAGUCUACGAUCCAUAGCUGGUUUGAGAGGAUGAUC